GUCGUGCCCCGGGGCACUGGGGUGAGGGGCCGAGCGGAGGAGCAUUUUGAAUAACUGCGUCCUGAGGCCAGACAGUCUACUUCAUUGUUUUGCCUACCUGAGUAUGUGCAAAGGCCUGGGUGAGCGGCCAGCAUCUACUGACUAAGUGACCUGCCUUGUGAGUACUGAAGGCCCGCAGUGGGACAAGGCCACAGUCCUGGAGGCUGGGGAUGAGCGGUGGCCGCCGCAUCCAGCAGGCGCCUGCGGCUCUGAACUGUCCCACCUAACUGAAUCUUAAAUCCUGCCUUAACUGCGAUGCAGCCCGGGGUAGUUUCCUUCCACGUGAAACCCCAGAGGCUGCUCCCACAACACCGUGUGCACGAGUCUACCCCACCCAGCCUCAGCUGUGCCCAUGCAUUGGAAUAUGAUGUAGCUGUCAAAAAGGAAUGAAGUUUUACAGAGACUCACGGGCCCUAGGCAGAGUCUGGGGGUGCUGUACCCCAUCUAGGGAGCUGUACUGGGUCUCUGGUGCUUUCCUGAGUCUCGGGGUGCUGCACCGAGUCUCCAGCGCUUCACCAGUUCCAGGAUGCGAAUGCCUCCUGGUCCCAUGUCUGUGUGUCCCUGAGUGGGCAGAGGGUUCUGGAGCUGUAGGACACCACUGGAGGGUCGUGGGGGCUGAGUCACCACUGCUGCAUGGAGUCUUCAAGAUCAGCCUGGCUGUGUGACUUCCUACCUCAAAAAACAGCGAGGUUGGCUACACCUUUGAUCUCAGCACUUGUGAGACAGAGGCUGGGUGAGUUCUGAAUUCGAGGCCAGCCUGGUCUACACAAGAAAAUCCUGUCUCAAAACAAAAACAAAGCCAGAUAGACCCAAAAAGUAAAGGGAUGAAUGAACCUGAAGGCCAGGCUAGCCCAGAGUCAGAGGCCAGAGAUUGCCCAGCAGGGCCCGGGAUUUUACCCCUACAUCACAGUCCAACAUGAGACAAACCUCAGGAUUAGUCCCAUGAGAUUCGCUGCUUUCUAAAACUUUGAGCCUUAGAAGAGGUCCCAUCUUCCACUUUGCCUACCCUGGCCUCCAUGGCGACUUACAUCUGUGUUCCACACACCGGACAAACUGAGACAGGAGGAUUGUGAUAGCCUGGCCUACGAUGGGAAAGUGAGUUCAUUCAAAAUGAAAUAAAAGUAAAGAAAAAUGCAUUGAAAACUAAAAUUAGAAAUAAUUGAAAGUCAUUUAAAAAAUAAAAUGAAGCCGGGCGGUGGUGGCACACGCCUUUAAUCCCAGCAC